GGACAACCUACCCUUGGGUCUGGCAUAAUCCUGGGAAACUGGGUAUGAUUCCGGAUAGGUCACAGAUGCUGGAAUGCACUAUGGCCGAAAGCUCCGGCGCCCAAGGAUGGGUCUGCGGCCUAUCAGGGUUGUAGUGGGUGUAACGGACCUACUAGCCUACGACGGGUACGGGUUGUGAGAGCAAGAGCCCGGAGAUGGAUUCUGAGACACGAAUCCAGGCCCUACGGGGUGCAGCAGGCGCGAAAACUUUACAAUGCGGGAAACCGUGAUAAGGGAAUCUCGAGUGCCAGCAUAUAAUGUUGGCUGUCCAGAUGCCUAAAAAGCAUCUGUUAGCAAGGGCCGGGCAAGACCGGUGCCAGCCGCCGCGGUAACACCGGCGGCCCGAGUGGUAACCGCUUUUAUUGGGUCUAAAGGGUCUGUAGCCGGCCAAGUAAGUCCCUUGGGAAAUCUGGCAGCUUAACUGUCAGGCUGCUAGGGGAUACUGCUAGGCUUGGGACCGGGAGAGGUGAGAGGUACCUUGGGGGUAGGGGUGAAAUCUUGUGAUCCUCGGGGGACCACCAGUGGCGAAGGCGUCUCACCAGAACGGGUCCGACGGUAAGGGACGAAAGCUAGGGGCACGAACCGGAUUAGAUACCCGGGUAGUCCUAGCCGUAAACGAUGCUCGCUAGGUGUCAGUCACGGUGCGACCGUGAUUGGUGCCGUAGGGAAGCCGUGAAGCGAGCCACCUGGGAAGUAUGGCCGCAAGGCUGAAACU
rnacentral:rRNA from 1 species